rnacentral:rRNA from 1 species
UACGUAGGGUGCAAGCGUUGUCCGGAAUUAUUGGGCGUAAAGAGCUCGUAGGCGGUUUUGUCGCGUCGGCUGUGAAAAACUCGGGGCUCAACCCCGAGCCUGCAGUCGAUACGGGGCAAACUAGAGUGUGGUAGGGGGAGACUGGAAUUCCUGGUGUAGCGGUGAAAAUGCGCAGAUAUCAGGAGGAACACCGGUGGCGAAGGCGGCUAUCUGGACCGACAUUUACGUGAGGCGCGAAAAGCGUGGGGGAGCAAAACAGGG